rnacentral:rRNA from 1 species
CUGCAACUCGCCUGCAUGAAGUCGGAAUUGCUAGUAAUCGCGGAUCAGCAUGCCGCGGUGAAUACGUUCCCGGGUCUUGUACACACCGCCCGUCACACCAUGGGAGUCAGCAACGCCCGAAGCCGGUGACCCAACCGAAAGGAGGGAGCCGUCGAAGGUGGGGCCGAUAACUGGGGUGAAGUCGUAACAAGGUAUC